GAGGAGUGCUGGAUAGCCCAAGCACCGCUCUGCUCCCUGGUUGAUGGCAUGACUGCUGUGCCGCUCUCUGCAUGGCUGCCAAGUCUGCAAACACACCUACCCCUGGAGCAGCUGGACUCCUGCUGGAUCCGCUUUCCCUCCUGCACUCAGCAGCUUAUUAGUGGAAACACUGCUUGGGGAGCCAAGCCAGAGAAAGUGGGCCAAACUCUGAAGUGGGUGUGCAACUGCAAACUCUCGUUUUCUUCACAUCUAUCUCAUGAUAAACCUAUGUACAUGAAGUCGCACUGGUUUAGCUGCAUCAUUUUGCAUGAGCAAGACCCAGAAGCCUCUGCAUUGCACUUUUGAAAGCUUGUGUGGCAGUAAGGACCUCAAAGGAAGCCUGACUUUCCUCCAUAGCACCAUGACUCCCUCUGACUGAUGUGGUACACACUGCACUGACAUGGAGGAAGGCGCUUUGGGCAGGUUUUGACUCUUGAAGUCAGUAGAGCAAGGGCACAAAGUGUAUGAACUUACCUAGCAUCUUACCCUUUCCCUGGCUUUUGGGACCAAGUUGCAGACAUCUCACCAAAUCUUCAAGCUAAGUAUUGGUUAAUCAUUUGCUAUUCUUCAGCUGUGGCUGAUGCUUUUCAGCUAAGUUAUUUCAGCAGAAGUUUUCAAAACAAAAAUGUGUAUCCAGUGAACUUCAAAAUGGCCAUUACGUGUUUACUGUUCAAACUUUGCUGCAAAAACCCUGGCAAAUGCCCAGUAGGGAGCACUUCCAAAAAUGGCUUCUUUGUGCUAGGCAGGUGUGACAAGGCAGUCUUUACAAGACUGACUUAAGUUUCUUAGCCUUUAAGGAUUAUAAAAAACUUGCUUUGUUUUCUUCUGGGGAAGGCAUCAUAGAUGGGUUAGCUCUAUCUGAAUUCUGGGUGAUGCUGCAGUUUUUUAGUAUUAAUACUUGUAAUAUUUUGCCUGGCAAGUAGGAACAUGUUGGGACUUUCAUACACCUGUGUCAAUAUUGUUAACAAUUACGUCUCUGCUCAGAACUUGGAAAGAUUUGCUGAUGACGCAGGAGAACUUCAUCGAGUGCUUUCUUCAGAAGAGAACUGGUACCUUAUGUCAGCAUUAUAGGAGUGCUUAUUGUUUGAAUAUUAGGACUGCCAGCUCUUGGGAAGUCCUCAGGCUUUAAUCUGGAAAAGUCAGAAUCAGGAAAAGUUCUGUUGUCUCUUGUUUAUACCAAAUUAGUGAACACAUUUUUUUGCCUGCAAAUUCUGUUUUGCUAAUAAAGGAGUGUGGUUUGUUCCUCCUCCCAGAUCAUAUAACACGUAAAUAAGCAAAAAUGACCACAGGAAUGGCAAGAUCCCAGAGAGCAACAUGAGUGUGUGAUCACUGUGGACAUGCUGUAUGCUCUCCCCAAAAGGACUCCUGAAGCAUCGGCUGGGUAUAAUGUUUGCUGCACAGGAAGAGAGAACUUGCUAAUGGCACAGUAAUUCAGCCCCUUGGAGUGGAUUCUCAUUUGAUGUUAAUAUGUGUAUAAUAUGUGUAGCUCAACUGGCUCCAGAGGUCCUCCUCUGAUUUACACCCGCAAAGAGUUUGACCUUUAUUUUCUGCUGAUGGCAGUGCCAGGAUUAUCAGGACAAAAUACAGAAAAUAGGCAUUUAGGGAAUAAACUAAGUAUUGAAAAGGUAGGCAUUUAGGGAAUAAACUAAGUAUUGAAAAGGUUUCUUUUUAUUACCAGCCACAUAGAGGUUGGGUUCUGCUCUGAAGAUUUCAAUCUGGUGAAAGCCUCUGCUCAACUCCGUAUUUCUGCUGUGCAUUGCUGCUGCCUUACACAGAGCAGGUGGCCCACCGGUAUGGACUGAAGUCAUUCCUCAACAUUUACAGCUUGAAAAGCAUUUUAGGAUAUUCUGAGAUGAAAAGCACU
ensembl:lncRNA